rnacentral:rRNA from 1 species
CACAAGCGGAGGAGCAUGUGGUUUAAUCGAUGAUACGCGAGGAACUUACCUGGGCUCGAACGUAAGAUGACUGUAGGUGAAAGCUUACAUCUCUCGGAGCAUUUUCAAGGUGCUGCAUGGUUGUCGUCAGCUCGUGCCGUGAGGUGUCGGGUUAAGUCCCAUAACGAGCGCAACCCCUAUCAUUAGUUGCCAUCAGGUCAAGCUGGGGACUCUAAUGAAACUGCCUACGCAAGUAGUGAGGAAGGUGGGGAUGACGUCAAAUCAGCACGGCCCUUACGUCCAGGGCUACACACGUACUACAAUGGCCGAUACAAGGGGCAGCGACACUGCGAGGUGAAGCCAAUCCCGUAAAAUCGGUCUCAGUCCGGAUUGGAGUCUGCAACUCGACUCCAUGAAGUUGGAAUCGCUAGUAAUCGUGGAUCCAGCAUGCCACGGUGAAUACGUUCCCGGGCCUU